rnacentral:rRNA from 1 species
UGUUCGUUAUUUAGGGCGCAUGGUGGAUGCCUUGGCAUGCUGAGCCGAUGAAGGACGUGUAAGGCUGCGUUAAGCCUCGGGGAGUUGUCAAUAAAGCGUUGAUCCGAGGA